rnacentral:rRNA from 2 species
UUCGGUGGUCAUAGCGAGAGUGUAACACCCGUUCCCAUUCCGCACACGGAAGUUAAGCCUCUCAGCGCCGAUGGUACUGCCAGGGAAGCUUGGUGGGAGAGUAGGUCGCCGCCGAUU